CCUCCUGCAUUAGCUUCUGUAAUGGCUGGAAUUUCAGGCAUGAGCCACCAUGCCUGGCCUGGGCUAGUCCCAUAUUCUCUAGAGUUCUCUUUACUCUGUGCUAGCCAAUCUCUCAUUAUGCUGUUCACCUGUUAUAAUGAAUAAUUCUCUGUAUUAAAUUUUACCACUUUAAACUUUUGAGUGGUUUAUGCUUCCUGAUUGGACUCUGACUAAUAUGUUAGGAAGGGUCCCAGGAGGUAGACCCACACAGAUGGGAUUUGGGCAUAGGUUUGGUUUCCCAGGGGGCAGUGCUGAGCUCUUUGCCAGUGGGAAAUGGGAUGCUGGUGAUUUCCAGUAGGUGACCUCACAGUGACUCAAGCUACCACUUACUGUUGAUUGUGACGAAAUGCCAGCUGAGGCACAUGCCUUGGGAGCUAAGUGGUUGCUGCCCUGGACCACUGUGAAGACUGGUGUGGGAAGGGUCGCUUUGGAUGCACUUGAGCAGGGGUCCCCAACCCCUGAGCCAUGGAGCCGCAAGGAGCCACACAGCAGGAGCUCCUACCUCCCGGCAGCCUCUCCAGGCCCAGAACUUUCUCCAGUCAGCCUCUACAGACCAAGCUCAUGACUCACAAUGGCCUAUUUAGGCCCAUACCCUACGUCACGGCAGCCUCCGCAGAUGAGGCUACUGCCUCACAACAGCCUCCACAGGCACAGCUCCAUCGUUACAAUGGCCUCUUUAGACCCAGCUCCUGCCUCCCAGCCUUCUCUCCAGGCCCUGAACUUUCUCAAGUCGACCUCACCAGGCCCAGCUCAUGCAUCUUGGUGGCCCCUCCAGGCCCAGCCUCUGCCUCCCGUCAGCCUCUACAGUCCCAACGUCUGCCUCACAGCAGAUUCUUCACGCCCAGCAUCUACCUCACUGUGGACCCCCCAAGCCAAGCUCCCAACCUUUCAGCAGCUUCUACACACCCAGCUCCUGCCACCCAGUGGCCUCUUUAGGCCAAGCUCAUGCUUCACAAGGGCCUUUCCAGGCCCAACUUUUGUCUCAUGGCAACCUUCCCUGGCCAGAUUCCUGCCUGUCUCCCAGCAGCCUAGACAGGCCCAGGUCUUGCCUCACACUGGCCUCUCUACAUCCAGCUUAUGCCUCACGGUGGCCUCUCCACGCCCAACUCCUGUCCCAGGACGUCAUCUCCGGGCCCAAAACUUACUCAAGUCAGACUCUCUAGUCCCAACUGCUGCCUCCUGGUGGCCUAUGAAGGCCCAAAAUCUCAAGUUGACCUGUCCAGGCCCAGCUCCUGCCUCCUGUCAGCGUCUACAGGCCCAACCUCUGCCUCAUGGGGGCUUUUCCAGGCCCACCUCUUCCUCUUGGCUGGGUCUACAGGCACAACUGCUGCCUCACAACAGCCUUUUUUGGCCCAGUUCCUGUCCAGCUCAUGGCGGCCAAUGUAGGCCCAAAACUUCCUCAAGUCAAACUCUCCAGGCCCACCUUCUGCUUCCCGGUGGCAUCAACAGGCCCAGCUUUGACUUGAGAACAGCCUCUGCAGGCCCUGCUCUUGCCUCCCAGGGGCUUUUUCCAGGCCCAGCUCUUGCCUCGUGGCAGCUGCCCAGGCCAAAUUUCUGCCUGCCUGCCAGCAGCCUCAACAGGCACAGCUCCUCCCUCACAGUGGCCCAUUUAGGCCCAACUCAUGACUGUGAGGCCAUUUCCAGGCCUAGUGCCUGCCUCGUGGCUGACUCUUGAAGCCCAAAACUUCCUCAAAUCAGCCUUUUGCCCAACUUCUGUCUACUGUUGGACUCUACAGGCCAGCCUCUGCCUCACAGUGGACCCUCCAGACUCAGAUGGUGUCUCACUGUGGCAUCCUCAGGCGAAGCUCCUGCCUUUCGGCAGCCUCUCCAGGCCCAGCUCCUCCUGCCUCCCAGUGGCCUCUUUCGGCCCAGCCCAGCUCAUGCCUCCCGGCGGCCUUCCCAAGCCCCGCUUUUGACUUUCGGUGGCCUCUGCAGGCCUCGACAAGGCCCAGCCUCCUGCCUCCCGAAGGCCUGCACAGGCCCAGCCUCUGCCUCACAGCGGACUCUCCACGCCCAGCUAGCUGUUGCCUCACUGCGGCCUCCCGAGUCCAAAGCUCCUGCCUCUCGGCCGCUUCGGCAGGCCCAGCUCCCGCCUGCCAGUGGCCUCUUCAGGCCCAUGGGGCUCAUUCCUGACAACGGCCUUUCCAGGCCCAGUUUUUCCCUUCCGGCGGCCUCUCCGGGCCCAGAACCUCCUCAAGUCGGCCUCUCCAGACCCACUUGCACCCUCCGGGCAUCCUCUCCGGGCCCAGCUCUUCUUCCUGGUUGCGUCUCCAGGCCCGAUUCCUGCUUCUCAACAACCUCUUUGGACUCAGUGCCUACCCAUCUCCUGGCGGCCUUGGUCGGCCCACAGCUUCCUCAAGCCAAGCUCCCCAGGCCCAGGUCAGGCCUCACGGUGGCCUCUCCAGGAUGAGCUCCUGCCCUCCGAUGGCAUCUCCAGGCCCCAAAUGGUCUCCGGUCGGUGGGCUCCUCCACGCCAAGGUUGGGCCUCCCGGCGACCGCCGCAGGCCCAAGUUGUCCUGAAGUCGGGCUCUCCCGGCCCUGCCUCCCAGCAAGUAAGCAAGCUCUUUUGGCUCAACUCCUGCCCAGCUCCCAACCGCCUUUGUAGGCCCCGAACUUUCUCCAGCCAAGCUCUGAGGGCCCACCUCCUGCCUCCUGGUGGCCUGUACAGUUCUAGCACUGGUUAGAGAACAGCCUCUGCAGGCCCCGCCCUUGCCUCCCAGGGGCCUCUCCAGGCCCAGCUCUUGCCCCCACGGCGGCCUCCCGGGGCCAAGUCCCUGCCUGCCUCCCAGCAGCCCGCGUACGGCCCAGCUCCUCCCUCACGAUGGCCUGUUGAUGCCCAACUCAUGCCUCUGGCACCCUGCCCAGAGGCGUGAGCCCCUGUCUCACACUGGCUCCUCCCACGCUGAGAGAGGUCAGUGUGAGCCCUUGCCUCACACCGGCCCCUCCCACGCGGACAGAGGUCAGCGUGAGCCCCUUGCCUCACACCGGCCCCUCCCACGCUGAGAGAGGUCAGUGUGAGCCCUUGCCUCACCCCGGCCCCUCCCACGUGGACAGAGGUCAGCGUGAGCCCCUUGCCUCACACCGGCCCCUCCCACGCUGAGAGAGGUCAGUGUGAGCCCUUGCCUCACACCGGCCCCUCCCACACGGACAGAGGUCAGCGUGAGCCCCUUGCCUCACACCGGCCCCUCCCACGCUGAGAGAGGUCAGUGUGAGCCCUUGCCUCACCCCAGCCCCUCCCACGUGGACAGAGGUCAGCGUGAGCCCCUUGCCUCACACCGGCCCCUCCCACGCUGCGAGAGGUCAGCCUGAGCCCUUGCCUCACACCGGCCCCUCCCACGCUGAGAGAGGUCAGCCUGAGCCCUUGCCUCACACCGGCCCCUCCCACGCUGAGAGAGGUCAGCCUGAGCCCUUGUCUCACACCGGCCCCUCCCACGCUGAGAGAGGUCAGCCCGAGCCCCUCGCCUCACACCGGCCCCUCCCACGCUGAGAGAGGUCAGCCUGAGCCCUUGCCUCACACCGGCCCCUCCCACGCUGAGAGAGGUCAGCCCGAGCCCCUCGCCUCACACUGGCCCCUCCCACGCUGAGAGAGGUCAGCCUGAGCCCUUGUCUCACACCGGCCCCUCCCACGCUGAGAGAGGUCAGCCCGAGCCCCUUGCCUCACACCGGCCCCUCCCACGCUGAGAGAGGUCAGCCUGAGCCCUUGCCUCACACCGGCCCCUCCCACGCUGAGAGAGGUCAGUGUGAGCCCCUUGCCUCACCCCGGCCCCUCCCACGCUGAGAGAGGUCAGUGUGAGCCCCUUGUCUCACACCGGCCCCUCCCACGCUGAGAGAGGUCAGCCUGAGCCCUUGCCUCACACCGGCCCCUCCCACGCUGAGAGAGGUCAGCCCGAGCCCCUCGCCUCACACCGGCCCCUCCCACGCGGACAGAGGUCAGCGUGAGCCCCUUGCCUCACACCGGCCCCUCCCACGCUGAGAGAGGUCAGCCUGAGCCCUUGCCUCACACCGGCCCCUCCCACGCUGAGAGAGGUCAGCCCGAGCCCCUCGCCUCACACCGGCCCCUCCCACGCUGAGAGAGGUCAGUGUGAGCCCUUGCCUCACACCGGCCCCUCCCACGCGGACAGAGGUCAGCGUGAGCCCCUUGCCUCACACCGGCCCCUCCCACGCUGAGAGAGGUCAGCCUGAGCCCUUGCCUCACACCGGCCCCUCCCACGCUGAGAGAGGUCAGCCCGAGCCCCUCGCCUCACACCGGCCCCUCCCACGCGGACAGAGGUCAGCGUGAGCCCCUUGCCUCACACCGGCCCCUCCCACGCUGAGAGAGGUCAGCCUGAGCCCUUGCCUCACACCGGCCCCUCCCACGCUGAGAGAGGUCAGCGUGAGCCCCUUGCCUCACACCGGCCCCUCCCACGCUGAGAGAGGUCAGUGUGAGCCCUUUGCCUCACCCCGGCCCCUCCCACGCUGAGAGAGGUCAGCCCGAGCCCCUCGCCUCACACCGGCCCCUCCCACGCUGAGAGAGGUCAGUGUGAGCCCUUGCCUCACACCGGCCCCUCCCACGCGGACAGAGGUCAGCGUGAGCCCCUUGCCUCACACCGGCCCCUCCCACGCUGAGAGAGGUCAGCCUGAGCCCUUGCCUCACACCGGCCCCUCCCACGCUGAGAGAGGUCAGCCCGAGCCCCUCGCCUCACACCGGCCCCUCCCACGCGGACAGAGGUCAGCGUGAGCCCCUUGCCUCACACCGGCCCCUCCCACGCUGAGAGAGGUCAGCCUGAGCCCUUGCCUCACACCGGCCCCUCCCACGCUGAGAGAGGUCAGCCCGAGCCCCUCGCCUCACACCGGCCCCUCCCACGCGGACAGAGGUCAGCGUGAGCCCCUUGCCUCACACCGGCCCCUCCCACGCUGAGAGAGGUCAGCCUGAGCCCUUGCCUCACACCGGCCCCUCCCACGCUGAGAGAGGUCAGCGUGAGCCCCUUGCCUCACACCGGCCCCUCCCACGCUGAGAGAGGUCAGUGUGAGCCCUUGCCUCACACCGGCCCCUCCCACGCGGACAGAGGUCAGCGUGACCCCCUGCCUCAACAGGCCACCGUGAGGGAGGAACAGGAUCGCACUCGGGCUGCUGGGAGGUAGGCAGGGACUUGGGCCUGGGAGGUCGCGGUGGGGCGAGAGCUGGGCCUGGAGACUCCCCUGGGAGGCAACAGCGGGGUCUGCAGACGCCCUUCUCCAGCCGGAGCUGGGACUGUUCAGUCACUGGGAGAAGGGAUGUGGGUCUGAAGAGCUUGGUUGCAGAAACUUCGGGGUCUACAAACGCAGGCGGGAGCUGAGCCAAAAGAGCUUGUUUGCUGGGAGGUGGGAGAUGCAGCCAGGAGGAACAGCUGGGCAAUGCGGGAGGCAGAGGCCAGGCCUCCUCAAGUUGGCCUCUCAGACCCACUUGCAGCCUCCCGGCGCCCCCUCCGGGCCCAGCUCUUCCUCCCGGCUGCAUCUCCAGGGCGGACUCUGGCCCGACUCCAGGUCCCAACAACGUCUUUGGACUCAGCUCCUGCCCAGCUCCCAGCGGCCCUGGUAGGCCCACAACUUCCCUAAGCCAAGCUCCCCAGGCCCAGCUCAGGCCUCGCGGUGGCCUCUCCAGGCUCAGCUCCUGGCCCUCCGAUGACAUCUGCAGGCCCCAAACGGCCUCCGGUCGGUGGGCUCCUCUAGGCCCAGCUUGGGCCUCCCGGCGGCCUCCGCAGGCCCAAAUCGUCCCGAAGUCAGUCUCUCCAGGCUUAGCUCCAGCCUCCCGGCGGCCUCUGCAGGCCCAAGUCGUCCUCAAGUCGGCCUGGAAGUGGGCCUGGAAGAGCAGCAAGUCGGCCUCCCCGGGCCCAGCUCCGUCCUCUCGGCGGCCUCUCCAGGUGCAAAACUUCCUCGAGUCAGCCUCUCCAGGCCCAGCUCCUCCUGCCUCCCAGUGGCCUCUUUCGGCCCAGCCCAGCUCAUGGCUCUCGGCGGCCUUCCCAGGCCCCGCUUUUGACUUUUGGCAGCCUCUUCAGGCGCAGAACUUGAUCUCCAGGCGGCCUUUGCAGGCCCGGCCUCCUGCCUCUCGAAGGCCUGCACGGGCCCGGCCUCGGCCUCGGCCUCACAGCGGACUCUCCACGCCCAGCUAGCUCUCGCCUCACUGCGGUCUCCCCAGUCCAAAGCUCCUGGCUUUCGGCCACUUCGGCAGGUCCAGCUCCUGCCUGCCAGUGGCCUCUUUAGGCCCAGCUCAUUCCUCACGUCGGCCAUUCCAGGCCCCGUUUUUCCCUUCCGGCAGCCUCUUGGCCUCUAAUUUGUUUAUCUUUUGUGUAUAAAUCCCAAAAUAUUGAAUUUUGGAAUAUUUCCACCAUUAUGUAAAUAUUUUGGUAGGUAA